rnacentral:rRNA from 1 species
GGAUGCGAUCAUACCAACAAUAACGCAUCAGAUCCCAUCAAAACUCCGAAGCUAAACGUGCUUGGGAAAGAGUAGUACUAGGAUGGAUGACCCCUGGGACGUCCUCGUGUUUCAUCAC